CCUACGGGUGGCAGCAGUGAGGAAUAUUGGUCAAUGGACGCGAGUCUGAACCAGCAAAGUAGCGUGAAGGAUGAAUGCCCUAUGGGUUGUAAACUUCUUUUAUAUGGGAAUAAAAUGUUCCACGUGUGGGAUUUUGUAUGUACCAUAUGAAUAAGGAUCGGCUAACUCCGUGCCAGCAGCCGCGGUAAGACGUAGGAUCCGAGCGUUAUCCGGAUUGAUUGGGUUUAAAGGGAACGUAGGUGGAUUGUUAAGUCAGUUGUGAAAGUUUGCGGCUCAACCGUAAAAUUGCAGUUGAAACUGGCAGGCUUGAGUACAGUAGAGGUGGGCGGAAUUCGUGGUGUAGCGGUGAAAUGCUUAGAGAUCACGAAGAACUCCGAUGGCGAAGGCAGCCCACUGGACUGAAACUGACACUGAGGCGCGAAAGUGUGGGUAUCAAACAGGAUUAGAUACCCCGGUAGUC
rnacentral:rRNA from 1 species